rnacentral:tRNA from 1 species
GCGAAAGUAGCUCAGCUGAUAGAGCAUCAGCCUUCCAAGCUGAGGGUCGCGGGUUUGAUCCCCGUCUUUCGCUC